rnacentral:rRNA from 1 species
GACGAACGCUGGCGGCGUGCCUAAUACAUGCAAGUAGAACGCACAGUUUAUACCGUAGCUUGCUACACCAUAGACUGUGAGUUGCGAACGGGUGAGUAACGCGUAGGUAACCUGCCUGGUAGCGGGGGAUAACUAUUGGAAACGAUAGCUAAUACCGCAUAAUAUUAAUUAUUGCAUGAUAAUUAAUUGAAAGGUGCAAUUGCACCACUACCAGAUGGACCUGCGUUGUAUUAGCUAGUAGGUGAGGUAACGGCUCACCUAGGCGACGAUACAUAGCCGACCUGAGAGGGUGAUCGGCCACACUGGGACGGAGACACGGCCCAGACUCAUACGGGAGGCAGCAGUAGGGAAUCUUCGGCAAUGGACGAAAGUCUGACCGAGCAACGCCGCGUGAGUGAAGAAGGUUUUCGGAUCGUAAAGCUCUGUUGUAAGAGAAGAACGGGUGUGAGAGUGGAAAGUUCACACUGUGACGGUAUCUGACCAGAAAGGGACGGCUAACUACGUG